UGGAUUGUAGCUUAAUGGUAGAGUGUCUGCCUAGCAUGCACAAGGCCUGGGCUCAGUUUCCAGCAUCUCAG
rnacentral:tRNA from 1 species